UGGGGGAUAUUGCACAAUGGAGGGAACUCUGAUGCAGCGACGCCGCGUGAGUGAUGAAGUAUUUCGGUAUGUAAAGCUCUAUCAGCAGGGAAGAAAGGCCCCGAAAGGGGAGAUGACGGUACCUGAGUAAGAAGCCCCGGCUAACUACGUGCCAGCAGCCGCGGUAAUACGUAGGGGCGAGCGUUAUCCGGAUUUACUGGGUGUAAAGGGAGCGCAGACGGAGAAGCAAGUCUGAUGUGAAAGCCCGCGGCUCAACCGCGGGACUGCAUUGAAAACUGUUUAUCUGGAGUACUGGAAGGGCAAGCGGAAUUCCUGGUGUAGCGGUGAAAUGCGUAGAUAUCAGGAGGAACACCGGUGGCGAAGGCGGCUUGCUGGACAGUAACUGACGUUGAGGCUCGAAAGCGUGGGGAGCAAACAGGAUUAGAUACCCUGGUAGU
rnacentral:rRNA from 1 species